UACGAAGGGGGCUAGCGUUGUUCGGAAUUACUGGGCGUAAAGCGCGCGCAGGGGGUCCUUUAAGUCAGGGGUGAAAGCCCAGAGCUCAACUCUGGAACUGCCUUUGAAACUAGAGGACUUGGGUACGGGAGAGGUGAGUGGAAUUCCGAGUGUAGAGGUGAAAUUCGUAGAUAUUCGGAAGAACACCAGUGGCGAAGGCGGCUCACUGGCCCGUUACCGACGCUCAGGCGCGACAGCGUGGGGAGCAAACAGG
rnacentral:rRNA from 1 species